CCCCUCGUAGCUCAAUGGCAGAGCAUCGGACUCUUAAUCCGCUGGUUGAAGGUUCAAGUCCUUCCGGGGGGACCA
rnacentral:tRNA from 4 species